CUUCCAGUAGCACCUUAGAGACCAACUACGUUUGUUAUUGGUAUGAGCUUUGGUGCGCAUGCACACUUCUUCAGUGCACACGAAAGCUCAUACCAAUAACAAACUUAGUUGGUCUCUAAGGUGCUACUGGAAG
rnacentral:miRNA from 1 species